CUGUGGUUACAGAUGGAACUGACGCGGGCCUGAAGCAAGGCAGAGCUGUGUUGUCUGAGGCUGCUCACAAAGAGGCGGAGAAAGGAGAUCUGCAGGAUUUGUUCUUCUUUGUAGCUGGAGAGGACGAGUUUUCCGACAACGUUCGGGAUUUUGCUGAUCUGGACGACACAUGCCCACUGCUUGUCAUCCUGGACAGUCCAGAACAAAAUGUCUACACAUGCUCAGAGGUCAAGGUCACUACAAAUAUUGCGACAGAAUUUGUGGACAAAUUCCUGCGAGGGGAGCUCAACCCGACCCCUAUCCCACCUCUGUGUGCCGACCCGAGUGGGACCCAAGCAGAAGCCGUGACUUCAUGAUGGCGAACGCUUUUUGCAGUUUUAAGGCAUAUUCAGAUCAAAGACCCACAUCUGUCUAUCUGUGUAACGAAUGGUAGCUGACUGAGGUCAUCGUGUUUAUACUUUAUACCACACCACUUGGUUCGUUGGAGUGGUUUUUUGGCAGUGGGCUAAUUGAGGUCACACGACUGAUCUAUUUUUGUAACUUUUUAGGAAUCGACAAACUAAGGUCAAAUUCUAUUACAUUUGAUAUGUUUUUGUAUCAAAGUUUGACCAGGAUUGUAUGUAAUAUGAUUUAAGAUUUAACUAUUUCGACAAAAAUUGGGUUUGAAAAACUAGCCUGGCUGCACUCGCCCUGCUACAUGGGGCUUGAAGGCAGAAAUUUUAUGGCCGCCAUAAAGCAAACUACACGGAUUACCAUCAAGUCUCUCCAACGAGCGGAUGUGAGACUUAGGUCUGAACAUUAGCAUAAGAUGGAAGAAAUAAAUUGUGAUGGUAAGACACUGACGGUCGUGGAUCUUUGGUCUGAAUUCGCAGUUACUGUUUGUACACUUCAUUCUCAGUUGUAGAUUAUUUACAACUCUUUGAACUUUUCAAGGGAAAAAUUCUGUUUGUCAUGAGAACUACAAUGUAGUUUAAACUUGCUGUAAACUAUACUACAUAAACUCAAUGUUGAAUUUUCCUUCCUAUAUGAUGAGACUUGUGAUUCUUUAUUUAAAAAUAAUUUUUUUCUUAAUUUUUUUUUUCAUCCCCAUCAGCGCAAUUUAGAUCAUUUAGGAGACAGGCUUUGACCCUGCCUAAUAGGGACAACCUGGGCUGAGAGGAGAGGACUACAAAAACCCAGUAGAAACACUGAGAUACGUACUCGAUAAAAACAUUUUCACACUGAGGAAUCAAACUCGGGUCUUUUGCAUGCGAUGGCAAAGCUCCCUUACUGCUACACCUCGGACACCAGUACUUGACAGAAUAAUGGUCUUUUGGUGCAGGGAAGAAGCAAGACAGAUAGUUGGGAUAGACAGAAAUAACAGAGGAAGAAAAAUGAAGUAUGAUCUACCAGAGGCACACUUCACCUGGUAUUUGGGAUUCUGAGUUGUUUUGUCUUUGAAUUGCUUCCCCUGUAACGGUUAGGUAAGUCUACCAGAGGUCAAACAUGGUUGUUCUAAAGGUUGUUUUUUUUUAAAAUUAUUAUGAAUAUGAAAUUUUUUAUUUUAUUUGAUCUGUUUUUGAGCUUUUUAUCUCUUCUUAUUCUUAUUCUUACUAGUGUUGUUACUGAUAUUCUUUUCUUUCACCAAUUUCAUUUUCAGUAAAAAUAUUGACCUCAUAGCUGCCAACAUUUCAAAACCAAAUAACAAACUCUACACAUGCAAAGGGUCAAGACCAUGGGUCAAGAUGAUGGGUUAAGACGUUGGACGUUGGCCACGUUAACCCCCCCCUUCAAACCCUUCACCCACAUCCUUUUCUGCAUUUUAUGAAUUCAAGUAAUUCAAAGUACACUUGCAGCAAAAGAUCUCUCCUCCUAUUAGCUAAUGGACUUUCUUCUCAUCAUUAUUCACAAAUCCAGUCUUGAAAGUUCAUAAUCUUUUUUUCAACAUCGGCAUGUCAGGGAGGAGCAAUAUUAGAUAGUAGAGAAUACGCAGUACGCAUUUACCUAUAUGAAAACGAACUUUCAUAGUCAGACACCGAAUAACGUAUUUUAUACACUUUUUACAUGCUGGUUGGCAGCUAUGCGACCUAUUGGUUAGCAACAUAUAAAUAAACAAAUGGGAAAACCAUAUGAAAUGUUAGUCUAAGUUUAAGUUUGCCUUACUUCCCGUAUUCUGUUCAUACUACAAUACAGUGUACUAUAUCGCUACACAAAAAUAUCAUUGAGGUUCUCACUUUGUACAUGAUGUAUGUAAAUAUUCUCUACUUCCUUCCCCACCAUUAACAUUUCACAGGUGUACAUUUUUUUCUUCACCUUUUCAUGGUUGUUGAUGAUGAUUUAUUUCAAAGCUGGGAGAAUGGUUUAGUUUGCUCUCAGUGAGCUUUACCGUCACCCAAGUAGUUUGUGGAUAUAAUUGGUAUCUGUGUCUCACAAUGUGGAUAGUCAAUAAAAUAUUUAAAAAUUUGA